rnacentral:rRNA from 2 species
GACGAACGCUGGCGGCGUGCCUAAUACAUGCAAGUAGAACGCUGAAGAGAGGAGCUUGCUCUUCUUGGAUGAGUUGCGAACGGGUGAGUAACGCGUAGGUAACCUGCCUUGUAGCGGGGGAUAACUAUUGGAAACGAUAGCUAAUACCGCAUAACAAUGGAUGACACAUGUCAUUUAUUUGAAAGGGGCAAUUGCUCCACUACAAGAUGGACCUGCGUUGUAUUAGCUAGUAGGUGAGGUAACGGCUCACCUAGGCGACGAUACAUAGCCGACCUGAGAGGGUGAUCGGCCACACUGGGACUGAGACACGGCCCAGACUCCUACGGGAGGCAGCAGUAGGGAAUCUUCGGCAAUGGGGGCAACCCUGACCGAGCAACGCCGCGUGAGUGAAGAAGGUUUUCGGAUCGUAAAGCUCUGUUGUAAGUCAAGAACGAGUGUGAGAGUGGAAAGUUCACACUGUGACGGUAGCUUACCAGAAAGGGACGG